GUAGGUGAACCUGCGGAAGGAUCAUUACCGAGUUAGGGUCUUCUAGGCCCGAUCUCCCAACCCUUUGUUUACCAAACCAUCGUUGCUUCGGCGAGCCCGUCCUCUAUGGACCGCCGGGGGGCUGUCACAGGCUCUCUGGUCCGCGCUCGUCGGUGGCCAACCUUACAAAUUCUUUAAUAAACGUGUCUUGAUCUGAGUACCAUAUUUUAAUCAAAAUUAAAACUUUCAACAACGGAUCUCUUGGUUCUG
rnacentral:misc_RNA from 1 species